rnacentral:lncRNA from 1 species
GAGCUUCCAAUAAAUUAUUCGCACAUGUUGAAAAAUAAUUUCUUAGACUUAGAAGCAGGUUUUAACUUUUCAAAAGCCUUGUGAAACGGGCCCACACCUUGACAAAUAGAAUAGAAUGAAAAAAAAAUUGAAACAAAGUAACAGACCAUGCUAGUCGAUCCUGUAUACUACUCAAGAAGGUCAUUCUAAAGGUAUUUAUCAUGAGCCAAGGAGAAUAAGAAAACUGCAAAGAAAAGAAGCCCGUGCUUCAGGCAGACUGGCCAUAUGCUCAACUCUUCCCCUUUCUAAUCUUAUCAAAUCUUUUUGUAGCUUUGUAUUGAUGCAGAAAGACAUUUUUUUGUAAAUAUAUUUCUCCAUAUUAUAGGAGAAAAAGAAAUGGCCAUGAUGCUCACCCCUCCUGAACUUUUUGAUUGCUUUUAAACACAAAAAGCAUCAACACAGCUUACUCCCCUCAAAAACAAGGUCCACCCUUUUGUCUAAUUAGAAAGUUGCACUCAGUUCAACUCAUGUAAAUCUACAUCAAUUAAACAAAUAGCACCAAAACGAAUAGAAAUUAGUUGAAAUAUUACUGUCCUGAGGACACGGCAACAGACAAAAUCUCUUCACUAUUAACCCAGUACAAGUAAACGAUCAAAUUAUGUACUUAAACUACACAAUUAUAUUUUCAAGAAGUUCCAGAAGCAUCAAAUUCAUAGUUAUUUAUAAUACAUAACAUGGCAGAACACAAAGCACAGCCACUGUACACAAGAUUUUCAAUUUAAUCAAGAAAUGACCAAAAAUAUAAUACAAAAUAUAUUUAACUAAAACUAAGACUAGAAUCCCAGCAGCCAAUAAUCAACCUUAACAGGAACAGAUCAUUACAAGGAUCCAACAAUAAAAAGUAGGAAAAAAAAUUCAAACAAAACAAGAACUUAAACUAUAAACUCAAACGACCCAUAAUCAGAUUCAACCGAGAGCAAUGAUCAACGUGGAAAUCAAGAAACAGAACAAAAUACAAAUGAACUAAAAUAUUUUUGCACAAAGACCCAUAAUCAAGUUUACCAGAUAACGAUGAUGAACAAGAUAAUCAAGAAACGACAACAAAUGAUAAAUAAAUAAAAUAUAUAUCACAGAAGUACAGAAGACCACGGACCAACGACACUGGAUCCUCCUGAGCCUAGGGUCAUGGUCUAGUUAUGUGAACUGGGUUUUUGGGGGUGGGGAUGGCUUCGAUCGGAGAGAGAUUUGGAGAAGACAGCGUCGAAAAUCUACAGAAAAUAACGCUUUAAAAAGUGGAGAAAAGGAAAUGUUAUUUGAAAGUGAU